rnacentral:lncRNA from 1 species
AGCCAUUACCAUAAUUUCACCAGAGAAUUAAUGUGCUGAGAUUCUUUGGACCCUGGAGACAAUUUCUUCAAUCUACAGUAGUGAUGAAUGAAGAAAUCGCAAGGGAGAUAUCUACUGUGCUACUGCAUCUACUGUUUCUCAAGGUUUUAUAAAGGGAGUUGAAUUGCAGUAGAGCCAUACUGACACCUGGAGGUUUAUCAGCAUUACUGGGCAGAGGUGUCAACAUGGAAAUAUUAACGUGUCACAAAAUCUGUUAAAAAUGCAGUUACUAAUCAGAAGAGCAACAGAAAAAGACCUGAAACAUCCAUUUUCACUUGGUCAACGUGGUUCAAUUUCCAGCUAGGACAUAAUUUGCACAAUAACCUGAAGUUGAAAUUAAUACUAAGAAACAAGCUGUACUGUGCGUAA